rnacentral:rRNA from 1 species
AAUCAACGCUGGCGGCGUGCCUCAGACCUGCAAGUCGAACGAUUAAACUUCCCUUCGGGGAAGAUAUAAAGUGGCGCACGGGUGAGUAACACGUAAGUAAUCUACCUUCGAGUGGGGAAUAACAUCGGGAAACCGAUGCUAAUACCGCAUAACGCAGCGGCACCUUAUGGUGACAGUUGUUAAAGGAGCAAUUCGCUUGAAUAGGAGCUCGCGGCAGAUUAGCUAGUUGGUAAGGUAAUGGCUUACCAAGGCUUCGAUCUGUAUCCGGUCUAAGAGGACGGUCGGACACACUGACACUGAAUAACGGGUCAGACUCCUACGGGAGGCAGCAGUCGGGAAUUUUGGGCAAUGGGCGAAAGCCUGACCCAGCAACGCCGCGUGAAGGAUGAAGUAUUUCGGUAUGUAAACUUCGAAAGAAUGGGAAGAACUCAAUGACGGUUCCAUUUAUAAGCUCCGGCUAACUACGUGCCAGCAGCCGCGGUAAUACGUAGGGAGCAAGCGUUGUUCGGAUUUACGU